AUAAGCCUCAAAAGACAACCAGCAUAACUGAAUUUUCUUUUGGGAUGCACAUUUCCAAAUAUAUUCUGUUAUGAGAUUAAAAUUCAAGAUUAUUCAACGAUUCAAUGAUCAAAAUGAAAGUAUUUCUACUGGUUUAAAAAAAAAUUCCAGUUCUUUGUGGAUUCAGAAUCUAGGGUGAUGAUAAAAGAUUUUGUGACUAUUGAUCAAAUAUUGAUUUCCUGUAAAUCACUAGUUUUCCUGGAGAGUUACAAAUUUAUAAUCAGUAGGCAAGAAACAGAAUUUGAAGGAGCUGAAAGGGUCCAGGAGGUGGGGAGCAAUGUCUGAGCACUGCUGGUUUCAGUUCGGUGUAAGGAACUGGGGUUAGCAAGGUUAUUUCCGUUCAAUACAGAUGCAAGGCUUUUAGAGGCGGAAUAUGCCAGGGCCAGUGGAACCACUGUGACCGUUGAUUCGCAUACUUUAAUGUACAUGAGUCACUUGAGGAUCUCAUUAACAUCAGAUUUCAUUCAUUGAUUUGCGUAUAGGGUCUGAUAUUCUGCACUUCUAACAAGCUCUCAGGAGACACUGAUCCUGCUGGACCAUUUUGAGUAGCAAGAAUUUAGAACACUGAUCUGUUCUUUCAGUCUAGAAGUGAGAAGUGUGGCCAGGAGUCAGGGGGCCCAGGCUCUCUCAUCAAGUUGACUGAGACAGCUGGAUUGAUUUCAAUUCCAAAAAGAGUGGAAGAAACAAGAGAAGGCCUUGCUGGAUAACUUGGUCAUUCUGAAGAUUGAGCCAUCAAAGACAGCUCAAGUCAUCAUCAGGAGCCUGGUUGGAUUCACUAUAGGGUGACUUUGGAACCUAACAACACCUGAUAUUUGGGGAUCCAUAUAUGGAAACACCACAAUUAUAUUUUACU